UCUGAGAGUGGCAGAAAAGUGCAAUGAACUUAAAAUUCACUCAUAAACAAAAUUUCCUUAGAA
rnacentral:tRNA from 1 species